rnacentral:lncRNA from 1 species
GACUCCGCCGUCGACAUCAGAACAGCUCCACCCGGACUCCUACAGGAGCCGGGAUCCGCUCACGACGGCUCCGACCAUUGCCGAGCUUCAAUCGACAGAUCCACGCCCCCUGACAGGCCCUCAAAACGAUCGUGACCCUGCUCCACCUUCUGUGGCGGACUCCACGCAGUAUCAUCAUUCCCUGACAAGCCGCAGCAGCCAUAGCCGCCCUGCUCCACUUCCUGUGGCGGACUCCGCACAGCUCCAUUAUCCCCCUGGCAGGCCACAGUAACGGCCACGAACCUGCUCCACCUCCUGCGAUGGAUACCAUGCGAUUCUCCUGACGACGGACGCUGCUCCACCCCUCAUAACGGAUUCCACGUGGCAAGUCGAGGUGACACCCACGUGUCUGCUCCAUUGUCUUUCGCAAUCAAUUCCCCUGACCAUGGGCGGCCCACUACCAGGUAGUUACACACGUCGCCAUCAGUCCGUUGCCUCCCCCGCCUAUAAAAGGGGGGACUCAGAUACGUUAUUUUUCAAGCUCUUUCGCCUUAUCUCAAACUCUGCUAAAAUCUCCGCUCGAGCACUCCAUUCUUGUUGAGGCAGAGAACUGACUUGAGCGUCGGAGGGUCUUGCCGGAGCAACCCCACCUCCGGUUUAGACUUCCCUUGCAGGUCCCAGCGGCGACCGCGGCUUCCGCAACUCCAGCUUCUCCGGCGCAGGCGGAUUUUUGCACCAACAGGAUUGGCGCUAGAGGAAGGGGCCUGUGUCUUCGCGGCACCCUUGAUCUUGAAGGAGCGCUCAACGGAGCCACCUCCGGCCAUCUCUCCGUCAUCUACUCCUAAUCCUCCCCGGCGAGAUCGACACCCGAUGCCUCCGCACAGGGCGUCCACCCGGCGGUCCACGGCCUCCGCAGCCAGAUCUCAGGCUCCGGCCUCCCCUCCCGUGUCUCAGCCAGCCCCUCCUCCCCCUCCGGCGACGGCGGUCGGCGC